CGUGUAGGCGGUUUGUCAAGUCGGGUGUGAAAGCCUGGGGCUCAGCCCCAGAAGUGCAUCCGAAACUAGCAAGCUAGAGCGCGAUAGAGGAGGGUGGAAUUCCUGGUGUAGCGGUGAAAUGCGUAGAUAUCAGGAGGAACACCGGCGGCGAAGGCGGCCCUCUGGAUCGUUGCUGACGCUGAGAGCGAAAGCGUGGGGAGACAACG
rnacentral:rRNA from 1 species